rnacentral:tRNA from 1 species
GCUGGGAUGGCAGAGCGGUCUAAUGUAAGUAUUCUCUUCUACCAACCUCUCAUAUCGAUUACUAACUCCUAUCCAGGCGUGUGACUAGAAAUCACAUCUCUUCGGAGGCGCCGGUUCAAAUCCGGCUUCCAGCU